UGAGGAAUAUUGGUCAAUGGACGGGAGUCUGAACCAGCCAAGUAGCGUGCAGGAUGACGGCCCUAUGGGUUGUAAACUGCUUUUAUAGGGGGAUAAAGUGUGCCACGUGUGGCAUAUUGCAGGUACCCUAUGAAUAAGGACCGGCUAAUUCCGUGCCAGCAGCCGCGGUAAUACGGAAGGUCCGGGCGUUAUCCGGAUUUAUUGGGUUUAAAGGGAGCGUAGGCCGUCUUAUAAGCGUGUUGUGAAAUGUCGGGGCUCAACCUGGGCAUUGCAGCGCGAACUGUGAGACUUGAGUGCGCAGGAAGUAGGCGGAAUUCGUCGUGUAGCGGUGAAAUGCUUAGAUAUGACGAAGAACUCCGAUUGCGAAGGCAGCCUGCUGUAGCGCAACUGACGCUGAAGCUCGAAAGCGUGGGUAUCGAACAGGA
rnacentral:rRNA from 1 species